rnacentral:tRNA from 1 species
GGCUAGGUGGCUUAGCAGGUAAAGCUCUCGUCUAGCAUACAAGAGUCGUGGUUUCGAAUCGCACCUGAGCAU